CAGGGGGGGAACGUAUUAUCUGAAUGGUGACACUGUUAGAUUUAAUAGAGGACAAGUAAGUAGAGCAAUGAUUUCUUUCUCUCUAUUCACAUCAACUUCCCCUUUCCAUCCUGCGUUUCCCCCAGGUCCAUCACCUUCAGGGUGCUCUCUGAUCCUGACAGUUGGUCUACCGACAUUUCAAGAUCAGUGUGGUCAUGGAAGACCUCAGCUGUUCGUCCCCAGCAUCUCUCCUCCACCUCUGUUGCUGCAGUCACUCAUUCUUUUGGGGUUUACAAAGUCUUCUUGGGAAAUACUUGCCCCAUCCCGGCACACAGAGUGGAGCAGUGCAGAAUGUAGCCAAAAGGAUGGUUCCACGACUCCCACCCAGUUACUGUAAGCACAGGGGUUGUACGAAAACACUGCCUGAUCGAAACGGUUCACCCUUUGUCACAAGCAACACAUGAAUGUCAGCAGGAGUCAACCGAUAUUACUAGUAAAGCCAGAGGGUGAGUAAAAUGAAGAGGAAUUUGCUAGAAGGUUUGCCGAUCUGGGUGGGGGUCUUGCAUUUCACAGAUACACGUUAAGCCUCAAAACAAGAGACAUCAGCAGUCGUGGUUUGUCCUCCGCAGACAGAAUCUGGACUUCCACACCAAAGGAGGAACAUGCUGGGCAGAGAAUCCACCGUGUGUUCGGCCUGUCCAGCCACACCCCUGGUCUCUCAGCCGCCGGGGAAAAGAGCAAAAUUCCAUCCCCAGAGAAGCCAGAAGAAGGUCUCGGUAGGGAACGUGGGGCCACAAAACCAGGUCAUUAUAUAACAUUGGCUGGAUGGUCCAAACAGAUUUCCUAUUGCAUAUUAAAAUGUUCAUGGGCAUCCCCCUCCCUUGGGUCUCCAAUAAAGAUCCUUUAUAAACACUAAGUGAAUAAAAUUCCCUACACUGUCUCCAUGGUGGAUGUAUAUUAAAUACCAAGCCUUUCUUAUCAAUGCG
rnacentral:lncRNA from 1 species